rnacentral:rRNA from 1 species
UACAGAGGGUGCAAGCGUUAAUCGGACUUAUUGGGCGUAAAGGGCGCGUAGGCGGCCGUAUAAGUGAGGUGUGAAAUACUUGGGCUUAACCUGAGGAUUGCAUUUCAGACUGUAGGGCUAGAAUACAGCAGAGGGAAGUGGAAUUUCCGGUGUAGCGGUGAAAUGCGUAGAUAUCGGAAAGAACAUCAGUGGCGAAGGCGGCUUCCUGGGCUGAUAUUGACGCUGAGGCGCGAAAGCGUGGGUAGCGAAC